rnacentral:rRNA from 1 species
AACGAACGCUGGCGGCAUGCCUAACACAUGCAAGUCGAACGAGGCCUUCGGGUCUAGUGGCGCACGGGUGCGUAACGCGUGGGAACCUGCCUUUAGGUUCGGAAUAACUCAGAGAAAUUUGAGCUAAUACCGGAUGAUGUCUUCGGACCAAAGAUUUAUCGCCUUUAGAUGGGCCCGCGUUGGAUUAGCUAGUUGGUGGGGUAAAGGCCUACCAAGGCGACGAUCCAUAGCUGGUCUGAGAGGAUGAUCAGCCACACUGGGACUGAGACACGGCCCAGACUCCUACGGGAGGCAGCAGUGGGGAAUAUUGGACAAUGGGCGAAAGCCUGAUCCAGCAAUGCCGCGUGAGUGAUGAAGGCCUUAGGGUUGUAAAGCUCUUUUACCCGAGAUGAUAAUGACAGUAUCGGGAGAAUAAGCUCCGGCUAACUCCGU